CAGUACCCUUCACUCCUCCUCCUCAAGAGCUGCGCUCCAAUUCGGCGUUACAGGGAUUUGUAAACGGCUUUCACUUUUUUUUUAAAUAAUUAAACAAACGACACUCUAGCCUAUUGAAUAGGUGCGUGGUUCUAUGUACCUUGCAACCUUAGAGGGACAAGCAGCUCCUCGCCGCAAGAAAAAGAGCAAGAACAGGUCUGUGAUGCCCUUAGAUGUCCAGGGCCGCAAGCGCGCUAC
rnacentral:ncRNA from 1 species